UACGGAGGGUGCAAGCGUUAUCCGGAUUUACUGGGUUUAAAGGGUGCGUAGGUGGACAAUUAAGUCAGUGGUGAAAUCUCCGGGCUUAACCCGGAAACUGCCAUUGAUACUACUUGUCUUGAAUACUUUGGAGGUAAGCGGAAUAUGUCAUGUAGCGGUGAAAUGCUUAGAUAUGACAUAGAACACCAAUUGCGAAGGCAGCUUACUACACAGUAAUUGACACUGAGGCACGAAAGCGUGGGGAUCAAACAGG
rnacentral:rRNA from 1 species